ACAGAGGUGGGCGGGUAGAGAAUACCGAGGCGCUGGAGAGAACUCGGGUGAAGGAACUAGGCAAAAUGGUACCGUAACUUCGGGAGAAGGUACGCUCUUGAUGGUGAAGUCCCUUGCGGAUGGAGCUGACGAGAGUCGCAGAUACCAGGUGGCUGCAACUGUUUAUUAAAAACACAGCACUGUGCAAAAUCGUAAGAUGACGUAUGCGGUGUGACGCCUGCCCGGUGGGGGAAGGUUAAUUGAUGGGGUUAGACUUC
rnacentral:rRNA from 1 species